rnacentral:misc_RNA from 1 species
AACGCACAUUGCGCCCCUUGGUAUUCCGAGGGGCAUGCCUGUUCGAGCGUCAUUAUAACCACUCAAGCCUGGCUUGGUAUUGGGGUCCGCGGUCUCGCGGCCCUUAAAAUCAGUGGCGGUGCCGUCUGGCUCUAAGCGUAGUAAUUUUUCUCGCUAUAGGGUCUGGUGGUUACUUGCCAUUAACCCCCCAUUUUCUAAGGUUGACCUCGGAUCAGGUAGGGAUACCCGCUGAACUUAA